AGGGCUGUGACAUUCAGUCUGGCUGAGAGACGGAGCUGUGGGCAGCACGGGGACAGCGGGGGUGGGGGGCACAGGGAGAGGGUCAGGGACACUCUUAGGGACUGAGCAUCCGCUGCGGGAAAGUGGUUUAGAGGGAUCUGGGGGAAGGAUAGGGUUGGGACAGAGCAGGGAAAGGGGUGAGGGGAGCAGGGUUACUCCUGGAGCCGGGACCCCACGCCCAGGGCCAUGCAGGAGGGCCAUCCCCAGCCCCAUGGGCACUGAGCAGGGUGGCACGGGGCUGCCUCCCACCAUGGGGUGCCCAUGGCUGAACCCCAACUCCUGCGUGCUGCUGCUGCUGCUCGCGCUGCCAAUGCUGCAGGUGCGAGCGACGCAUCCCGACUGCUCCGUCAUCCUCUACUUCCAAGAGAGAGAGGAUGAGUGCCUGGAGGCCAUCAGGAGUGAGAGCCAAACUCAAUCCCCCGGUGGGCAGCGAGGCUGCCGGACAGCGUGGGAUGGGGUGAGCUGCUGGCCGGCCAUGCCUGUGGGUCAGUCCCAUGCUGUUGCCUGUCCCGAUGUCCCCCACAUCUUCAAGAAGUCCAAAGCGCUGAUCCACAGGAACUGCACUGAGGUGGGGUGGAGUCCCCCCAGCCCACCCUACUACAGUGCCUGCGAGCUGGAGGCUGUUGGGAGCAGCAACAACACCGAGGCCAAGAGAGGCUACUUCAUCACCAUGAAGGUGCUCUACACAUGUGGCUACUCCACGUCCCUGGCAGCCCUGUUCCUGGCCAUUGGAAUCUUCUCCUGCUUCAGGAAGCUGCACUGUACCAGGAACUCCAUCCACAUCCACUUCUUCACCUCCUUCAUCCUACGCGGGGCCGCUGUGCUCAUCAAGGACGCCGUCCUCUUCUCUGAUGAGUCUGUUGACCACUGCACCAUGUCGACGGUGAAGUGCAAGGCAUCCAUUGCCUUCGUGCAGUACUCGGUGUUGGCCAACUUCUACUGGCUGCUGGUGGAGGGCAUGUACCUGCAGACCCUGCUGCUGCUCACCUUCACCUCCGAUCGGAGCUACAUCUGGUGGUACAUCCUCAUCGGAUGGGGUGUCCCCAUGCUGACCGUGUGUGUGUGGGUGGUCACCAGGCUGCAGUACGAUGACCACGGGUGCUGGGAUGACUACAGCAGCCCCUACUGGUGGGUGAUCAAGGCUCCCAUCCUCCUGGCCAUAUUUGUGAACUUCCUCAUCUUCCUCAACGUCACCAGGAUGUUGGCACAGAAGAUCCGAUCCCCAGACAUCAGCAAAAACUACAAGCAGCAGUACAUGAGGCUGACCAAGUCCACACUGCUCCUCAUCCCCCUCUUUGGGGUGCACUAUGUGGUGUUUGCGUUCUUCCCUGAGCACAUCGGUGUGGACGCCCGGCUGUACUUUGAGCUGGUCCUUGGUUCCUACCAGGGGUUCUUGGUGGCUCUGCUGUACUGUUUCCUGAACGGGGAGGUCCAGUCUGAGAUCAAGAGGAACUGGGGCAAGUGGCAGUCAACCAUGGAGAGCAACGUCUUCAACAUGGCAACCCAAGACUUCACAGCAUGAUGAGGAUGGAAGUCGGGGGAUGUUCCUCCCUAAGGACAGUGGCCCUAGAACCAAAGGGGAUUUAAAUGCAUUCCCUUAUGGGAAGAUGCCAACACAACACACAGCCCCCCAGCAGCCAACCUGAGGGAGGAGAAGCCACCACUGCAGCCCAUUCUGCUCACAACCCCCCAUCUCCUGCUCUGGUUAACGCCAUCCCAGCAGACAGAAAGGUGUUGGAUGCCCCUUCCCAAACCUCUCCUGGCUUUGCUGAGCCACCUGAUCUCAGCAGAGCUUCUCAGGCUUUCCGUAUUGUAAUUUCUCCGCAUGGCCAAGUGCCCUUCCUCAAAUAAAACCCAUAGAUUGGUCUCAUCCCAGGC